UUCAGCGUGAUCCAUUAAUUUGCAUAUCACCAUGGCACUACAGUUAUUUUUCCUGUGUGCUGUGCUACCAUGAAGCGAUAAGAGCCUGCACAAAACUGAAUCAAAAGGCCAGCAAACAGAGGACACAAUAUGAGUUUCACACCUCCAGUGGUGACUUAUGGGGAGUCAGCUCCUAUGGCCUUCUGGGAUACUAUAGGCGGAACAUGCCUCCAGCCACUGCCCGGCAACAAUUCCCCAAUGACAAAUACUACUGUAUAGGAUCAUCACUAUGGCCACACAUACCAACACCAGCUGAGCAUAUGAGAAGGGCAGGAAAGUUGUCAAGUCUGUGAUUGUGGAGAUAAAUCUCAUGUCUGAAGCAACUUCCCGAAGCAAGAAAAAAAAGAAAAAUAAAUAGAGUAUCUUCAGCGAUAGUGCUGGUGUGCUGGAAUCUAAAUGCUGGUGUCCCUCGGGGGCUUCGGUUGACUGGCUGCUGACCUUUGCUGCCCUCGGACCACUAGCCACAGUUCAAACAAGAGGCACAAGGGACACAUCAAGGACAACUAUGGGCUAAAGAGGAUUAUAGAUCGGGUCGCUUGACCGAAACUUUGUAAAAAAUACUGUUU